GCGGCGGUAGCGGAGCCAGGUCAAACGCGGGGGACUCAAGAUCCCCUCCCGUAGGGGUGCGUGGGUUCAAAUCCCACCCGCCGCACCA
rnacentral:tRNA from 1 species